GUGAGUGUGAAGAAUACGUCUUUAAAGGAGAGAGGAGAAUAAUCUGAAUGUUAAAAGGUUAAAAGUUAAAAUGAUUACCCUCUGAGUGGCAGAAAGAAACUAAAAGUUCCAGCAGGGCUGCAUGACAAAGAACUUAAGUUUCAGGCUUUUUCUCCAAAUGAAAUGAAGCUUAACAUCUGAGAUAUUACUGGAGUUACUUAGAAAAUGAUGCAACAAGAUCACAAUGUAGUAAAUCUUGCACAGAAUCUAUACAAACAGGAAUCGAUUACCAAGAUAAGUUGUUCAAUCAAAAACAUCCAGCCAAUCCAAGAGGAUCCUCCACCCGACACCACUUCCACAAAAAAUGAAUGAAUAAAUGAAGGAUGAACUUUAAAUUUAACAAAUUUCCUCUCUCCUCUAAUGUCUCAACAAGCUGUAUGAGCAUAUUAUCUGGGCUUUGUAAUGUCAGAAAAGUUCACUUAUAUCAUAAGGUUGUUGUUGUUGUUGGCACU
rnacentral:lncRNA from 1 species